UUYGAUCUGUUUACCAAAAACAUAGCUAAUAGAAAACAUUAUAUAUAGUGACGCCUGCUCAAUAAUUGAACAAAUAAAUAAACUAACAACAAUUCAAUAGCUGCGGUAAUCUCUGACCGCACAAAGGUAGCACAAUAAAUAGCCUAUUAAUUAUAGGAUCGCAUGAAGGCAAAACGAAGCUCAAACUGUCUCAAGACCACAAAGAAAAAAUAGAAUACACGUGAAAAUCCGUUUAAAAGAGACAAGACGAUCAGACCCUAAGAACUUUACCUAAAAAUUUUGAUCACAACAAGAUACCAAAAUUUUAAGUUUUGUUGGGGCAACAACCUCAAAAAAAAUAAAUGAGGUUAAUAAAAUAAGAAUAAAAAAGAUAAUCAAAUCUAAACACUAAUAAAAAGAAUAAGACCCAUUAAUAAUAAAUAAUAAUAAUGAACAUAGAAUAAAAGUUCCUUAGGGAUAACAGCGUAAUAUUGUUUUAAAGAAGAAUUCAAACAAUGUUUGCGACCUCGAUGUUGAAUUAYRAGA
rnacentral:rRNA from 1 species